rnacentral:rRNA from 1 species
GAUGAACGCUGGCGGCGUGCCUAAUACAUGCAAGUCGAGCGAACAGACGAGGAGCUUGCUCCUCUGACGUUAGCGGCGGACGGGUGAGUAACACGUAGAUAACCUACCUAUAAGACUGGGAUAACUUCGGGAAACCGGAGCUAAUACCGGAUAAUAUAUUGAACCGCAUGGUUCAAUAGUGAAAGACGGUUUUGCUGUCACUUAUAGAUGGAUCCGCGCCGCAUUAGCUAGUUGGUAAGGUAACGGCUUACCAAGGCAACGAUGCGUAGCCGACCUGAGAGGGUGAUCGGCCACACUGGAACUGAGACACGGUCCAGACUCCUACGGGAGGCAACAGUAGGGAAUCUUCCGCAAUGGGCGAAAGCCUGACGGAGCAACGCCGCGUGAGUGAUGAAGGUCUUCGGAUCGUAAAACUCUGUUAUUAGGGAAGAACAAAUGUGUAAGUAACUAUGCACGUCUUGACGGUACCUAAUCAGAAAGCCACGGCUAACUACGUG